UGCAGCCAGGCAUUGCAACCCUGAUCGUUCCAGGCUGUUUCUUCAACAUUUAUGUGUUUUCCUUAACUGGAAAUGUUAGGCGCACAGCCGCCUCCCUUCUGGGACUGGAAGAUGAGAUAUUUUGCAAGCUUGUCUCGUCCUCCGAAGCACAGGGGGGGGAUUCUCUUUCCUGACCCUUCCCACACACUCUGGCCUCCCCCUCUGAAUGCACAAUCACUUCCUGAGUCCUGCUCUCACCCCCGGAGUGAUAGAGAAUGAAAGCUGAGCUCCAACAUGAGUUUCCCCGCUGUGAUGAGUCUCUUGAAUUUUAAAUAUAAGACAUAUUUAUUCAAUCCUCUAGUUUGGUAGGAGAAGUGACUAGCCCCUGACUCUGGAUGUGUGUGAUCCGGAGACAGCAGAAAUGUCUAUUUUGAUUGAUCAAGAGUCCCUAUAAGGUACUUCCGUUUGCACAGCUAAGCGUGGGCUGGGGCUGGCACGGCCAGCUGUGCCAUUCCUGUGGCCACGUGGCUGGUGGCCAGACCCGGGCUGGGAGAGAGCUGAGGACUGUUUCCUGGGAAGCCUUGCCCAGUGUCCCCCCACUGCCUUCCCCGUGCAGCUGCUGGGCAAGUCAUCCGCCUGGGCACCGGGGCCUUGCUUGGCGCUGGCGGACACGGAUCCUCCUGGCGGCUCUGGCAGCUUGGACAGGUUCCACGGAGGAAACUGAGGCAGAACCUCACCUGGUCCUGCCAUCCGGUGACUUCGGCGUCUCUACGUCAGAGAGGGAGCUUGUGGGAUCUCCGCCCCCUUCCAAGAUACUGUUCAUUCUUCUUCUUUCUCACAGGGAUGAGUAUUAGUGAAAACGGAUUCUCUUCCGCGAAAGUCACCUCACGUGGCUGCACUCUGGGAAGCUGGCAGGGUUUGCCUCUGACACCACAUUGUCUGUUUUUCUCUUCCGCCCCCCCUCCCAGUUUUAAAAACCACAUUCAUUACUUUUAUUUUCCUUUUCGCUUUAUUUUUCAGUGUGCAUUACGCAAACGUUAAAGAGCAUUAACAAAAUUCUAAGUAAAAGGCGAGAAGAACCACCCACAACUCUGCCACCACCGGCCACACUGCGUCACUUUGCCGGGCCCUGCCCCGCGCAGAGCCACACGCGUGCGUAACUUCACCGGCAUAGUUGUGGCAGAGACGUGUUUUGUAUCCACUUUUUUUGUUUUUUUACUGGACGUUGUAUGGUAAGGUCUUUCCAUGUCGUCACGUGGCGUUUACAUUUAUCUUUCUGUUCUUCUCCCAGCCAUUCCUCGGGUGAAUACGAUGUAAUCGAUGUGACCAUUUUCCUACAUGUGAUCAAUACCAAUGGCUCCAGCUUCUUGCCGUCGUGGGAAAGCACUCUGCUUUCCCCUGUGGGACCAAUUCCUCGUGAUGAAUCCCUAAGAGUUUCCUCUCGAUUUUGCUUUGGAUCCAGAGGGGCCAGAGAUCUCGGGGAGCUGGGCAUCUCUUUGAUCCUACUGGAAUCUGUCUGAUCUUCAGACUCACCAGGGAACUUUGACAAGAUACUGCCGCCUGGGCCUCCUUGCAGACCCACUGAACUGAAAUUUCUCAGGUGAGUGCAGAAAUGCCCUUGACUCACUCAAUAAGCAGUUGUGGACGAUAACUGUCUUCAUGAGCUCGUGCUUCACUCCUUCACAUAAGGCAAGACCCUUGUCCCUUGACAUGCGUGAGUACCUUUCCCUCUGCUGCUUGGCUGGGGGCUUAGGGGGGCUUUCAUGAGCCUGGGAUCAUGCCCUUCUUGUUGUUCCCAAGCAGAAAAACAUCCCUUGAAAACUGUCUCCCAGAAACAGGAGGGUGAGGGGAGGCAGGAAACCGUCCCACGUGGCAAUCACCUGGGAAGGGAGGGGUGGGUGCAGCUGAAGCAACAGGGAGCUGGGCGGAGGCAUCCUGAAUCCUGGAGUGGGAAGCACAGUGAUGGGGAGUGAGUCUGGGCCCUGCGGGUGUCUAGGGGGCAGCCUGGCAGGACCUCUGCACCCCUUAAAUGUUCUUGUCCACUCUGGUGGACCCACGCCGACCAAACGUCCCUGCAUGCAGGCCUGAGGGCCACAGAGCAGAGGAGGAUUCUGGAUUUCCCCCUUCACUCAGCCGUAUCCUGGCCUCCAGCACAGAGCCUGGCCCUGUCCAUCAAUCCUCGCUGAAUAUUAAAAGCCAGCAUUCACUGAAGUGUUUACAGUGAUUUGAGGACUGUGCUGACCAUUCUACUUGUACUGUCUCAUGUGAUCUGUGCAACAACCCGGAGGAUAGACACUGUUCCUCUUCCCAUUUAGGGAUGAAGCUGAGACAGACUGAGAUCAGGUCAUUUGUGCAAGUCCUCACUGCUGGGAAGGGAAGAGAAGAGCGGGGCUCAGAACCCGGGCCAUGGCCUAGCUUCUGGGCUUCCCGGCUCAGUGGUCCUGCCUUUGCUCUGUCGUGGCUGUGUGGCUGACAGGUUUUGUUCCAAGAGCCAGCCCCUACUCUAAGAAAUGUCACGAAUCACAUAGGCUUUUGUGAGUGUCCUUAGAGCCUGACCUUGAUGUAUGACACUGUCCCUAUGGAAAAAUGUCCCCAUCUUAGGAAAUGUAGUGAAGCCUGGCCAAAGGAAAUGAAGGCUCCAGCACAACUUGGGGUUCUCAGUGUCCUAAACACUCUCCUCUUGGAUGACAUUCCCAAGAAAUGAAGCCAAGAUGAGGUUUGAUCAAACACUCUGCCGAUUCUUAGAACAUCUGCCCUCCAUCCUCUCCCUUCUCUCUCCUUGAACUGGUUUUAGGGGCAACUCAGAAGUCAGACUAAUUCUGGUUAAGAUCUGGGUGCAGUGGGUCAGAGGUCAAAGGGAGGCUUCUCCGCUGCCAGCCCCAGCAUCUGUGCUAUUUCCUGAGUGAUCCAGCCAACUUUGGGGCUGAGCUUCCUCCAGCUGGCCUCUUAAACCCUUCUAGUGGGGCUCCAGAUCCUCCCAGGGGCGCUGGAUCCAGCCAACGCAAUUGCCUUGGGGGCCUUCCACAGGGCCUUCGGGGCACAGACAGAACUCUCCAUGAUUCUUGGGGAUGUGAGAAAAGUCCACAGGCAAAUGCCAGAAUGAGAAAGAAGAUUGUCCACUUUGCUCCUUUCCUGUCCAGCUCAAAUGCAUCCAUCUUCUUCGAUCUCUUUUGGGUGUGUGGGAGGGAGACAUCUUGGAGGAACCAGUGACAAAGGCUUGCUAUUAAGCAAGCUGAUUUGACAGACACAUGACCAGGGAGGGCUGGGCUCAGCCUCAGAGAUAUUUUGCAGCAGGAUGUGAGAGGGCGUGAAUCUAAAAUCUAAAAGUGGGUAUGCGGUGCGGGGGAGGGGCGGUUCGGGAAGGCACCGGGCCGUUCCACAGUUGGAAGGGCUAGCCUUUUGCUCCCUGACAACACAAGCAGAGGCAGCAUGACUUCCUGGCAACAACCUUCCCUCUUACUUUCAUCUGAAACCUUUCUACCUUCUAGCUGGCAAAUGUGAGUGAAUGUUCGUUGGUCCCAGGGUUAUACACUAGCCUAAAAACAUUGGAAGAGUCAUUGGUUUAUGUUGUGACGAAUAGAAUCUUCAGAUCAGAAGCACACGCAUAUGUGUGUGUGUGUGUGAAUGGUGUGGCGUGUACGUGGUGUGUGUAGCAUGGUGUGGGGUGGCGGUGGUGGUGAUGAUGGCGUGUGUGUGCGUGUGGGUGUUGUGAGCAUCCUGGAGGGAAGACUUCUUGCUUCCACUUCACUGAGUGAAACAGCCCAUUAUAGGUGAACAGCAAAUCUCCCUCUUCUUCUUCUCCUGGUACACGUUCUCCAUCCCAGAUGAAGUCAAGCAGACAUGCUAAGCUGGGGAGAGAAAACGCUAGAUGACACAGGUUCUCGGGAUUUAUUUGUAAGAAAACGAUGCGCGUUUUCGUCUUCGGUUCUCUGGAACAGGACUGGUCUGUGGAGACAGGAUCACUUGGUGUCACGGAGGGGUGCGGGUGAGGAGGACACUCUUAGGAGCAGCCAGCGCACCUGCUCUUCUCAGUUUCCCCUCGGCUAGCCCCAUGGUGACAUGGCCUGGUGCUGCCCCAUCACGUCAACUGGCGUCGUUGGCCCUGGGCUGAGGCUGACGCUUCUUGUCCCACUGGGGCCAUAAGGAUGCAAACCAGCGAACCCCGGGCCACUGAAGCAGAGUGUGCGAACUUAACCGCUGCACCACUGCGCCACCGCGACAGAUUGUAUUUUCAAAAUGACCACAUGCCAUCCUCUUCCAGAACUUUGCAGCCCCUCUAACACAAAAGGACAAGUGCUUCCCCGCGCUUUGAGAAGGAUCUGGCCUUCACAAAUAGAAUGCAGUGGAAGUGACACUGCGUGGCUUCUGACACUAGGACACAAAAGAGCAGUACGGCUUCAGCCUGGCCUUCUCUCUCUUUCUGCACCCUGGGGGCCCUGAGAGAACUUGCAGGAAGUUUGCUGCCCUGAAGUCCCCAUGCUGGAGGGACAGUGUGGAGAGACCACACAGACAGAGAGAGAGAUGCCCCAGCACCUGUGAGUCUCCCCAGCAUGAGCCACUGCCCAUGUGAGCGAGUGGGCGAGCCUGUGGUGAUUCCACGCUCCAGCCUUGAGCUGCUCCAGCUGACGCUCGGUGGUGUGGAGAGAAGCCGGUCCUGCCGAGUCUUGCCUCAAAUGCAGAUCCAUGAGUGAAACAGACGCCGGCGUUUUCAGUCAUGAAGUUCAGGGCACUUACUCACACAGUGGACAAUCAGAGCAUGCCCCCUAGCAGGCCGGACUUUCUCAAUCCCAUUCCAUCUUUUCAAGAAGUUUUCAAAGUGUCUGGCCAUUCAUGUUAUCCUUCCCUGUUUAAUAUUGAUAAAGAAAUUAUUUUAUUUUGUUAUUUCUUAUUUUAUUUAUACAAAAACUGUCUCAAAUUUUUAUUCUUGUUGGUCAUUUCAUCAGAAUUAUGGGUGAACAGGAGAUAAAACUGUGGCCUCAAAUUGCCACCUUGCACAGAAACUUGUGGUUUCGUUCCUGAUUAAGAUGCUGUGUGACGUCCAUAUGUCCCCGUCCCUUGUGUGCGUGUCAGUGGGAAAGAGUUUAUCAGGUCAGCUGUGUCGUUUAGCAAGGCCCAGCUCUGGGGGACUCUUCGGCCCUGCCUGUGCACACGUGACAUUAAUUCAUAAUUUAGGGGGACUUUUUAGGUGUUCAUGCACUUGAUAGUAAGAUAAACUACUUCUAAACGUUGUUAAUCUGUUGUGGCGGCUCGCCGCAGAAUAAGCAGAGCAGAGUGCUUUGUAAGGAGAAAUAAAAAUAAUAAUGCUUUCCUAAUUUCAUGCAGAAUCAGCAGUUCUAAACUCACCAGAAUCUGUAAACAGAAUGUCAAAUAAAAAAGAUUAACAUUCCUAAAAAAUUACAGUUUUGUUGAAUGGGGAAUAAAUCAUGGAUCCUCUUCCACCUGGGCUGACAGACGAUUUUAUGAGUUCCAAUAUUGCUGAGCGUGCUUCCUCACAGCGUGAUUUUCAUACCCCUCUCGCCCUGGUUGGUUGUCCGUAGUUGAGCCUGAAACAGCCUUGUUCUCCAUCCUGGUCCGCACUUCUUUCUUGUGUUGCCCCUUUCAGGAGAACGUCUGAACAGGCUGUAGACCAUUUAAGUCUUUGGGGGAACAAGCCCUCAGCAGUUAAGGGAGGGAUGGGUAUGGAAGAGAGUGGCCUGGCAGGGCGGGAAGGCACGGACUCCGAGGCUGGAUCGGGGAGGAUCUUGGCUCUACCACUUACCGGCUCGCGAUCUUCGGCACGUGACCUCCUUGGAGCGUCAGUUUCCUUAGCUAAAAAGUAGGCAUAAUCACAUGUGUUAUUUGCUUGAGCUGUCAUAAUGAGGGGCCACAGACUGCGUGGCUUAAACACUAGAAGUUUAUUUACUCACAGAUCUGGAGGCUGGAAGCCCAAGAUCAAGGUGUCGUCAAGGUUGGUUUUUCCGAGCCUCUUUCCCUCGCUUGGAGACAUCCGUCUCCACCCUGUGUCUUCAUGGUCUGCCCUCUGUGCGUGUCUGUGUCCUCAUCUCCUCUUCUUACAAGGACACCAGUUAUACUGAAUUAGGCUUCACCAUAAUGACCUCAUUUUCGUUUAAUUUCUUCUUUAAAGACUCUCUCCAAACGCAGUCGCAUUUUGAGGUCCUGGGGGUUAGGGCUUCACCAUAUGGAUUUUGAGGGGACGCAAUUCAGCCCAUAACACACACUUAUCCUAAAGGGGUGUUUUGAAAUAUUGUAGAUAGAGUUCCCAGCACACAAUAAAGAUGUAGAAAAUGUUAACUCUCUGUCUUCCUCCUCUCAAUUCCAAAUUCUUUUGUCCCUGACGGUAGAAGGAAAUGUAUUUCCUUUACCCUUAAUCUAAUUUUCCCUCUUUUUCUUUCCAAGAAAUUAUUUGUGAGGAAUAAAGGGAAAAUGAUCUAUUUUAAUUUUUUUUUCCCAAAGAUCCUAUUUCAUUAGUCUCAAAUGGAGUUCCAGCAAUUUUCUUCCUCUCUUCCGGAAUGUGGACAUGAUGACUGGAACUUCAACAGCCACCCUAAAGCUCAGAGAUGACCUUGAGGUGACCUCCCAUAUAAAGUGGAGGAGUGAGAAAUAGAGGACACCCAGGGCAUGGAUGACAUCAUGUAGAUGUCUAUCAGCCUGGGACUGCCUACCUCAGGACUUCGUGUUACAUGAGAGGAAAACAUCCUCUAUAUCAUUUAUACUGUUGUUAUUUUAGCCAAAGAUAAUUCCUAGCUAGUGUGGAAUUUUAGUUCAGUUGCAGAAUUUAAGGUGCAUGUUAAUAAACUAAUUUAUGUUAAAAAAGAAAUUGACUUCAUGUCCUUCCAAGCUAACACUCAGUGUCUUGCACUGACUGCAGUUUGAGCAGUGCUGUGUGAGCACGUGUGCAUAAAUCUGUGUUCCGG